rnacentral:rRNA from 1 species
AUUAACGCUAGCGGCAGGCAUAAUACAUGCAAGUUGAACGGCAGCACAGGUAGCAAUACUGGGUGGCGAGUGGCGCACGGGUGCGUAACACGUAUGCACCUACCCUAUACAGGCGAAUAACCUUUAGAAAUGAGGGCUAAUACGCCGUAGUAUUACAGAUGGGCAUCUAUUUGUAAUUAAAGAUUUAUCGGUAUAGGAUGGGCAUGCGUCCCAUUAGUUAGUUGGUAAGGUAACGGCUUACCAAGACGAUGAUGGGUAG